AACGAACGCUGGCGGCAUGCCAAACACAUGCAAGUCGAACGAGACCUUCGGGUCUAGUGGCCCACGGGUGCGUAACGCGAGGGAACCUGCCCUUAGGUUCGGAAUAACUCCCCGAAAGGGGUGCUAAUACCGGCUAUUGUCUUCGGACCAAAGAUUCAUCGCCUUUGGAUGGGCCCGCGUUCGCUUAGCUAGUUGGUAGCGUAAAAGCCUACCAAGGCGACGAUCCCUCUCUGGUGUGGGAGGAGGAUCAGCCACACUGGGACUCAGACACGGCCCACACUCCUACGGAAGGCAGCAGUGGGGACUAUUGCACUCUGGGCGAAAGCCUGAUCCAGCAAUGUCGCGUGUGUCAUGAAGGCCUUAGAGUUGUAAAGCUCUUUUACACGGGACGAUAAUGGCCGUCCCGGGCGAAUAAGCCCCGGCUAACUCCGUG
rnacentral:rRNA from 1 species